rnacentral:rRNA from 1 species
GACGAACGCUGGCGGCGUGCUUAACACAUGCAAGUCGAACGGAAAGGCCCUGCUUUUGUGGGGUGCUCGAGUGGCGAACGGGUGAGUAACACGUGAGUAACCUGUCCCUGACUUUGGGAUAACUUCAGGAAACUGGGGCUAAUACCGGAUAGGAGCUCCUGCUGCAUGGUGGGGGUUGGAAAGUUUCGGCGGUUGGGGAUGGACUCGCGGCCUAUCAGCUUGUUGGUUUGGUAGUGGCUGAGCAAGGCAUUGACGGGUAGCCGGCCUGGGCGGGUGACCGGACACGCUACAACUGGGCUGCGACACAGCCUCCUACCGUACGCAAGAGUGGAGAGUAGUACACUACGGGAUGAAGGCAGGUGCAACGAAGCCACGUCGGGGAAAUCGGGCAUCGGGUAGUAUACCACUUUCGUCUGAGACGAGGCGUUAAUGACGGUACCGGGUAAAGAAGCCCCGGCUAACUACGUG